GCUUGUCUCAAAGAUUAAGCCAUGCAUGUCUAAGUAUAAGUAUUAUACAGCGAAACUGCGAAUGGCUCAUUAAAACAGUUAUGGUUUAUUUGAUAAUCGAAUUUUACAUGGAUAACCGUGGUAAUUCUAGAGCUAAUACAUGCUGGUGUGCCUGACUUUUCGGAAGGGCGGUAUUUAUUAGAUAACGAACCAAUAUUCCUCUGGUCUAUUGUGGUGAAUCAUAAUAACUGAUCGAAUCGCAAAGCCUUUGGCUGCGAUAUGUCAUUCAAGUUUCUGCCCCAUCAGCUUUCGAUGGUAGUGUAUUGGACUACCAUGGCUUUUACGGGUAACGGAGAAUUAGGGUUCGAUUCCGGAGAGGGAGCCUGAGAAACGGCUACCACAUCUAAGGAAGGCAGCAGG
rnacentral:rRNA from 1 species